UUUGAGUUAGGGAUUGUAGUGGCAUCCUUUUGCUUUUUUGGCAAAAGAUAUAACAGAAAGCCCGCCCACGC
rnacentral:sRNA from 1 species